UAAUACGGAGGGUGCAAGCGUUGUCCGGAUUUAUUGGGUUUAAAGGGUGCGUAGGCGGCUCUUUAAGUCAGUGGUGAAAUACUGCAGCUCAACUGUAGCAUUGCCAUUGAUACUGAAGAGCUUGAGUACAGAUGAGGUAGGCGGAAUUUAUGGUGUAGCGGUGAAAUGCAUAGAUACCAUAAAGAACACCUAUUGCGAAGGCAGCUUACUAAGCUGUAACUGACGCUGAGGCACGAAAGCGUGGGGAGCGAACAGGAUUAGAUACCCUGGUAGUCCACGCUGUAAACGAUGAUUACUCGAUGUUAGCGAUAUACUGUUAGCGUCUUAGCGAAAGCGUUAAGUAAUCCACCUGGGGAGUACGCUCGCAAGAGUG
rnacentral:rRNA from 1 species